AAAGUAUCCUGGGAACUGUAGUUUGUUAAGGGGACUUGGAAUCAGCACCCUUAGCAAACUGCAGUUCCCAUGAUUCUUU